rnacentral:rRNA from 1 species
GAUGAACGCUGGCGGCGUGCCUAAUACAUGCAAGUCGAGCGAACGGACGAGAAGCUUGCUUUUCUGAUGUUAGCGGCGGACGGGUGAGUAACACGUGGAUAACCUACCUAUAAGACUGGGAUAACUUCGGGAAACCGGAGCUAAUACCGGAUGAUAUUUUGAACCGCAUGGUUCAAAAGUGAAAGACGGUCUUGCUGUCACUUAUAGAUGGAUCCGCGCUGCAUUAGCUAGUUGGUAAGGUAACGGCUUACCAAGGCAACGAUGCAUAGCCGACCUGAGAGGGUGAUCGGCCACACUGGAACUGAGACACGGUCCAGACUCCUACGGGAGGCAGCAGUAGGGAAUCUUCCGCAAUGGGCGAAAGCCUGACGGAGCAACGCCGCGUGAGUGAUGAAGGUCUUCGGAUCGUAAAACUCUGUUAUUAGGGAAGAACAUAUGUGUAAGUAACUGUGGACAUCUUGACGGUACCUAAUCAGAAAGCCACGGCUAACUACGUG